CUUCCAGUCAAUGAGGCUGUUACACCUCAUUGACCGGAAGGAAUCCCUCCUGGUCAAUGACGCUGUUACACCUCAUUGGUUGGAAGGAAUUCCUUCCAAUCAAUGAGGUGUAACAGCCCUAAUCAACUGGGAGGGAUUCCUUCCGAUUGAUGAGGUGUAACAACCUCAUUGACCGGAAG
rnacentral:miRNA from 1 species